rnacentral:rRNA from 1 species
UGGGGGAAUAUUGCGGCAAUGGGGGCGAACCCUGACGCAGCAACGCCGCGUGAUUGAAGAAGGUCUUCGGAUUGUAAAAUACUUUUAUUCAGAGACGAAGAAGUGACGGUAUCUGAUGAAUAAGCUCCGGCUAACUACGUGCCAGCAGCCGCGGUAAUACGUAGGGAGCGAGCGUUAUCCGGAUUUACUGGGCGUAAAGGGCGAGUAGGCGGAUCGGUAAGUCAGAUGUGAAAUGUCGGGGCUUAACCCCGGAACUGCAUUUGAAACUGCUGACCUUGAGUGAUGGAGAGGCAGGCGGAAUUCCCAGUGUAGCGGUGAAAUGCGUAGAUAUUGGGAGGAACACCAG